UACGUAGGUGGCAAGCGUUGUUCGGAUUUAUUGGGCGUAAAGGGCAUGUAGGCGGUUAUAUAAGUGUGAAUUGAAAGGCCGGAGCUUAACUCCGAGUUUGGUUUGCAAACUGUAUGACUAGAGUGUAGAAGGGGAAACUGGAAUUCCGCGUGUAGGGGUGAAAUCUGUAGAUAUGCGGAAGAAUACUUGUGGCGAAGGCGAGUUUCUGGUCUAUAACUGACGCUGAAAUGCGAAAGUGUGGGGAGCAAACAGG
rnacentral:rRNA from 1 species